rnacentral:rRNA from 1 species
CCUACGGGAGGCAGCAGUGAGGAAUAUUGGUCAAUGGCCGGGAGGCUGAACCAGCCAAGUCGCGUGAGGGAAGGAGGCCCUACGGGUUGUAAACCUCUUUUGUCAGGGAGCAAAGUGCAGGUCGGGACCUGCUGUGAGAGUACCUGAAGAAAAAGCAUCGGCUAACUCCGUGCCAGCAGCCGCGGUAAUACGUAGGCUGCGAGCGUUAUCGGGAUUUAUUGGGUUAAAAGGGUGCGCAGGCGGAGGCACAAGUCAGCGGUAAAAUCGCGGGGCUCAACCCCGCUCCGCCGUUGAAACUGUGUGCCUUGAGUGCGGGAAGGGUAGGCGGAAUGCGUGGUGUAGCGGUGAAAUGCAUAGAUAUCACGAAGAACCCCGAUUGCGAAGGCAGCCUGCCGCAGCGUUACUGACGCUGAAGCUCGAAAGCGCGGGUAUCGAACAGGAUUAGAUACCCGGGUAGUC